rnacentral:rRNA from 1 species
GUGGGGAAUAUUGGACAAUGGGCGAAAGCCUGAUCCAGCCAUACCGCGUGGGUGAAGAAGGCCUUCGGGUUGUAAAGCCCUUUUGUUGGGAAAGAAAUCCUGUCGGUUAAUACCUGGCGGGGAUGACGGUACCCAAAGAAUAAGCACCGGCUAACUUCGUGCCAGCAGCCGCGGUAAUACGAAGGGUGCAAGCGUUACUCGGAAUUACUGGGCGUAAAGCGUGCGUAGGUGGUGGUUUAAGUCCGUUGUGAAAGCCCUGGGCUCAACCUGGGAAUUGCAGUGGAUACUGGAUCACUAGAGUGUGGUAGAGGGAUGCGGAAUUUCUGGUGUAGCAGUGAAAUGCGUAGAGAUCAGAAGGAACAUCCGUGGCGAAGGCGGCAUCCUGGGCCAACACUGACACUGAGGCACGAAAGCGUGGGGAGCAAACAGGAUUAGAAACCCGGGUAGUCC